rnacentral:rRNA from 1 species
UGGGGAAUUUUGGACAAUGGGCGAAAGCCUGAUCCAGCAAUGCCGCGUGUGUGAAGAAGGCCUUCGGGUUGUAAAGCACUUUUGUCCGGAAAGAAAUCCUUGGCUCUAAUACAGUCGGGGGAUGACGGUACCGGAAGAAUAAGCACCGGCUAACUACGUGCCAGCAGCCGCGGUAAUACGUAGGGUGCAAGCGUUAAUCGGAAUUACUGGGCGUAAAGCGUGCGCAGGCGGUUUGCUAAGACCGAUGUGAAAUCCCCGGGCUCAACCUGGGAACUGCAUUGGUGACUGGCAGGCUAGAGUAUGGCAGAGGGGGGUAGAAUUCCACGUGUAGCAGUGAAAUGCGUAGAGAUGUGGAGGAAUACCGAUGGCGAAGGCAGCCCCCUGGGCCAAAUACUGACGCUCAUGCACGAAAAGCGUGGGGAGCAAACAGGAUUAGAUACCCUGGUAGUCCACGCCCUAAAACGAUGUCAACUAGUUGUUGGGGAUUCAUUUCCUUAGUAACGUAGCUAACGCGUGAAGUUGACCGCCUGGGGAGUACGGUCGCAAGAUUAAAACUCAAAUGAAUUGACGGGGUCAUAGCUGUUUCCU